GAGACAAGCAUAUGACUACUGGCAGGAUCAACCAGGUAGCAUUCCUCCGAGACGCCGCGCGCCGCCCUUGCGCCGCCGGGGGCGGUCCCCAAGGGGCGGGCGCGGCCGUCAUACGUGGUUAUAUCGGAGCUCCUCUUAGGGAGGGGGAACGGGUCCCCGCCCCGCGGCGUGCGCUGGGUCCAAGAGCGUCGCACAUCCCCGUGGGCCACGCGACCGAGUAAGGCUCGGUGGAACACGGGGGGUGCUUCGAUGUCCUCCCGCGCCCGUUACAAGGCGCCGGAUGGAGGCUAAUUGCGAGCGGCCCGCUUCCCCUGAAGGGGUAGGGGGCACAAGAACCGGCCUCUGAGGCGCCAUCCCACCCCACGGCAACCAAACACGGAUUGCCUGCCGACCGUUCGGUGGACGAGCACGGAGCCAGCCGGCAGAUACAAUCCAAACACCACUCCC
rnacentral:misc_RNA from 1 species